GGGAAGGUGGCUCAGUGGUAGAGCGCUUGCUUUGUAUGCAUGAGGGCCCUGGGUUCAAUUCCUAACCACCA
rfam:Dipodomys ordii contig_9249, whole genome shotgun sequence.